GACGAACCGUGCAAACGUUGUUCGGAAUCACUGGGCGUAAAGAGCGCGCAGGCGGUCGUUCAAGUCGCGUGUGAAAGCCCCCGGCUCAACUGGGGAGGGUCACGCGAUACUGAUCGACUCGAAGGCAGGAGAGGGUAGUGGAAUUCCCGGUGUAGUGGUGAAAUGCGUAGAUAUCGGGAGGAACACCAGUGGCGAAGGCGACUACCUGGCCUGUUUCUUGACGCUGAGGCGCGAAAGCUAGGGGAGCAAACGGG
rnacentral:rRNA from 1 species